GAUGAACGCUAGCUACAGGCUUAACACAUGCAAGUCGAGGGGCAGCGCAGUGUAGCAAUACAUGGGCGGCGACCGGCGCACGUGUGCGUAACGCGUAUCCAACCUUCCCGUUACUCAGGGAUAGCCUUCCGAAAGGGAGAUUAAUACCUGAUGGUGUUCAAAUUCCGCAUGUUAUUUGAACUAAAGAUUCAUCGGUAACGGAUGGGGAUGCGUGACAUUAGAUAGUAGGCGGGGUAACGGCCCACCUAGUCUACGAUGUCUAGGGGUUCUGCGAGGAAGGUCCCCCACACUGGAACUGAGACACGGUCCAGACUCCUACGGGAGGCAGCAGUGAGGAAUAUUGGUCAAUGGUCGGAAGACAGAACCAGCCAAGUAGCGUGAAGGAUGAAGGUUCUAUGGAUUGUAAACUUCUUUUAUACGGGAAUAAAACCUCCCACGUGUGGGAGCUUGUAUGUACCGUAUGAAUAAGCAUCGGCUAACUCCGUGCCAGCAGCCGCGGUAAGAC
rnacentral:rRNA from 1 species